rnacentral:rRNA from 1 species
AGUGAACGCUGGCGGUAGGCCUAACACAUGCAAGUCGAACGGCAGCACAGGAGAGCUUGCUCUCAGGGUGGCGAGUGGCGGACGGGUGAGGAAUACAUAGGAAUCUACUUUUUCGUGGGGGAUAACGUAGGUAAACUUACGCUAAUACAGCAUACGACCUACGGCUGAAAGCAGGGGAUCUUCGGACCUUGCGCGAUUGAAUUAGCCGAUGUCGGAUUAGCUAGUUGGCGGGGUAAAGGCCCACCAAGGCGACGAUCCGUAGCUGGUCUGAGAGGAUGAUCAGCCACACUGGAACUGAGACACGGUCCAGACUCCUACGGGAGGCAGCAGUGGGGAAUAUUGGACAAUGGGCGCAAGCCUGAUCCAGCCAUACCGCGUGGGUGAAGAAGGCCUUCGGGUUGUAAAGCCCUUUUGUUGGGAAAGAAAUCCAGCUGGCUAAUACCCGGUUGGGAUGACGGUACCCAAAGAAUAAGCACCGGCUAACUACGUGCCAGCCGCCGCCGUAA